rnacentral:lncRNA from 1 species
ACACUCAGACUUCACAAGUACUUGACUGUACUCAAAAAUCUUCCAUCAUCGAAUUAAAAAUUUGGAUAGUUUGGCACCAAAGCACAUUGAGUUACUUGCAAGUCACCAAGGUAGCCUCAGGUCAGAGGGACACAUAUACCCAUAUCCCAUCAGAGCAACCCUUGACAGUAGAGUGCUUCGAAAGUGGUCACGCUUAGUGAAAUGUACUCCUAUAAAUCAUCCAUAUGCCAUUCCCGUGUCACCACAUGUCUUGGUUAAGAGAACAACCAACUAAUAUGGUACACAACAAUCUACACUCG